UAGCUCCCGAAUCAAACUAUGAAACGCCCCGUACUGCUGCCGUCCCCGGUUUAUGUCAUGCACCCACAAACGGGAAGGUUCAUCGUUAUCCUCGUCGUUGUCAUCUAACGCCAAAACAAGGGCUAAUUUUCUCAUCCUCGACAUUGUAACUGACACUGUAGCGUAGUCAAACCACUUUGAUGCGGUAACUGAUUUGCAACGUUGGCUCUAGAACAUUCUGCUCGAGAAUAAACUUGACAAAACCACCCUGUCAGUUUUUUAGUUGGUAAAAAACCACCCGGGUCAGGUGUUUUUCAAUAUAAAAAAACUGCCUGUAUGAACACCCCCUAAGACUGUAUCACACAGGGACUCUUCAUCUUCUUCUGAAGCAGACCUUCCACGGAGGCGAAGCUCUGGACGAACCAUCAGCGCUGAUUAGGGACUUAGACAUAUUCGAUCUCUCACGCUUUAUGACUCUGUAUAACCGUUGCCACUUUACUUAAUAAAUCCAAGGUCCUCGUGCCGACAGACUUUAUUACCUCUCCGUCUCAUUUCAUCUGGUCCAGUAACUAGACAGACCGUUUUUCCCCUCACAUCAUCAAGUCCCAACUAAUCAGUUUCCACCGCAUCUGCUCUCUACCUCAUCACGUAGAGGAGGCCACCAGGACCCUUUUCAAGGCCCUUAGACCUCGCGGCUAUUCCAAACGUUUUCUUCUGACUAUUAAAGGGGAAGUGACCGCCCUCUUCCAGCCAGGCCGGCCCGUUCUCCCUGAAAAAAAGAACACAGAACAAAAGUUAAUUCCAUUAAUUACUACAUUUUCGCGACAGCUAGGCCCCCUCAAGCAAGCUAUAAAGCAACAUUUUAAUUCUGCCAUACCUCAAACCGCCCCACUCGCUUCUUUUAAAAUACUAAUGUCCUACCGCCGUAAUAAAAACCUACAGGACAUUUUAGUCCAUACAACUCCCCACUCUCCCUUACCCCACUCUUCUCACCCUCUCUAACUCUAAACCCUUCAACGUCCUAUCACCCCUCUGCCCUCUGGGUUUGAGAUGUGAAUAGGAUAUCAGAGAUGCCCAGAAAGGCAGGGGAGAAUGUAGGGACAGACAUCCCACACCUCCUUACAUCUGACUCCCCACCCUUUCCCCCCACCACUCUUCUCACUCUCUCUAAACCUAAACCCUUCAACAUUUAAAAUUUAAAAAGUUUGUUUUUAAUCCUAAACCUAACCUUUAGCUUUAUUCCCUAAACCCACCCCUAAAACCAUUUUGUAUUU
rnacentral:lncRNA from 1 species